rnacentral:rRNA from 1 species
AUUGAACGCUGGCGGCAGGCCUAACACAUGCAAGUCGAGCGGAUGAAGGGAGCUUGCUCCUGGAUUCAGCGGCGGACGGGUGAGUAAUGCCUAGGAAUCUGCCUGGUAGUGGGGGAUAACGUCCGGAUACGGGCGCUAAUACCGCAUACGUCCUGAGGGAGAAAGUGGGGGAUCUUCGGACCUCACGCUAUCAGAUGAGCCUAGGUCGGAUUAGCUAGUUGGUGGGGUAAAGGCCUACCAAGGCGACGAUCCGUAACUGGUCUGAGAGGAUGAUCAGUCACACUGGAACUGAGACACGGUCCAGACUCCUACGGGAGGCAGCAGUGGGGAAUAUUGGACAAUGGGCGAAAGCCUGAUCCAGCCAUGCCGCGUGUGUGAAGAAGGUCUUCGGAUUGUAAAGCACUUUAAGUUGGGAGGAAGGGCAGUAAGUUAAUACCUUGCUGUUUUGACGUUACCAACAGAAUAAGCACCGGCUAACUUCGUG